rnacentral:rRNA from 1 species
GGUUCGAUCACAGCUCAGAUUGAACGCUGGCGGGAUACUUUUACAUGCAAGUCGAACGGCAGCACAGGACUUCGGUCUGGUAUGUGAGUGGCGAACGGGUGAUAAUGUAUCGGAACGUGCCUAUUAGCGGGGAUACUGCGAAAGCGUAGCUAAUACCAUACGCCCUUCGGGGAAAGCCGGGGGACCUUCGGGCCUCGCACUAUUAGAGCGGCCGAUAUCGGAUUAGCUAGUUGGUGGAGUAACGGCUCACCGUGACGAUCCGUAGCUGGUUUGAGAGGACGACCAGCCCUGGGACUGAGAUGCGGCCCAGACUCUACGGGAGGCAGCAGUGGGGGAAUUUUGGACAAUGGGGAAACCUGAUCCAGCCAUCCCGCGUGUGCGAUGAAGGCCUUCGGGUUGUAAAGCACUUUUUGGCAGGAAAAAAGAAACGGCCUGGGAUAAUACCCCCGUGCAACUGACGGUACCUGCAGAAUAAGCACCGGCUAACUACGUGCCAGCAGCCGCGGUAAUACAUGGUGCAAGCGUUAAUCGGAAUUACUGGGCGUAAAGCGUGCGCAGGCGGUUCGGAAGAAAGAUGUGAAAUCCCAGAGGCUUAACUUUGGAACUGCAUUUUUAACUACCGAGCUAGAGUGUGUGAGAGGAGGUGGAAUUCCGCGUGUAGCAGUGAAAUGCGUAGAUAUGCGGAGGAACACCGAUGGCGAAGGCAGCCUCCUGGGAUAACACUGACUUCGCUCAUGCACGAAAAGCGUGGGAGCAAACGGGAUUAGAUACCCUGGUAGUCCACGCCCUAAACGAUGUCAACUAGCUGUUUGAGGCCUUCGGGCCUUGGUAAUGCCGCUUCGCAGCGUGAUUGACUACCAAGUACGGUCAUAUAGAUUAAAACUCGAAAGGAAUUGACGGGGACCCGCACAAGCGGUGGAUGAUGUGGAUUAAUUCGAUGCAACGCGAAAAACCUUUACCUACCCUUGACAUGUCUGAACGAAGAUUUGGGAGUGCUCGCAAAGAGAAACCGGAACACAGGUGCUGCAUGGCUGUCUCGUCGAGAAAAUGUCGUGAGAUGUUGGGUUAGAGAUCCCCGCAACAGCCGCAGCCCUUGUCAUUAGUUGCUACGAAAGGGCACUCUAAUGAGACUGCCGGGUGAUAGCCGGAGGAGAAGGUGGGGAUGACAUCAAGUCCUCAUGGCCCUUAUGGGUAGGGCUUCACACGUCAUACAAUGGUCAGGACAGAGGGUCGCCAACCCGCGAGGGGGAGCCAAUCCCAGAAACCCGAUCGUAGUCCGGAUCACCGGUCUGCAGCUCGGCUGCGUGAAGUCGAAUCGCUAGUAAUCGCGGAUCAACGCUGUCGCCGGUGAAUACGUUCCGGGUCUUGCACCACCGCCCGUCACCAUGGGAGUGGGUUUGAAGUAGUUAGCCUAACCUGUAGGGGCGAUUACGGUAGGAUUCGCGGCUGGGGUGAAGUCGUAACAAAAGGUAG